AGUGAACGCUGGCGGUAGGCCUAACACAUGCAAGUCGAACGGCAGCACAGUAAGAGCUUGCUCUUAUGGGUGGCGAGUGGCGGACGGGUGAGGAAUACAUCGGAAUCUACUUUUUCGUGGGGGAUAACGUAGGGAAACUUACGCUAAUACCGCAUACGACCUACGGGUGAAAGCAGGGGAUCUUCGGACCUUGCGCGAUUGAAUGAGCCGAUGUCGGAUUAGCUAGUUGGCGGGGUAAAGGCCCACCAAGGCGACGAUCCGUAGCUGGUCUGAGAGGAUGGUACGCCACACUGGAACGUAGACACGGUCCAGGCUCCUCCGGGAGGCAGCAGUGUGGAAUAUUGGACAAUGGGCGCAAGCCUGAUCCAGCCAUACCGCGUGGGUGAAGAAGGCCUUCGGGUUGUAAAGCCCUUUUUUUGGUAAAGAAAAGCAGCAGGUUAAUACCCCGCUGUUCUGACGGUACCCAAAGAAUAAGCACCGGCUAACUUCGUG
rnacentral:rRNA from 1 species